rnacentral:rRNA from 1 species
GACAGAGGGGGCAAGCGUUGCUCGGAAUCACUGGGCGUAAAGGGCGCGUAGGCGGGAUGGCAAGUCAGUCGUGAAAUCUCUCGGCUCAACCGAGAAACGUCGGCUGAUACUGCCGUUCUUGAGGGAUGCAGAGGAGACUGGAAUUCCCGGUGUAGCGGUGAAAUGCGCAGAUAUCAGGAAGAACACCCGUGGCGAAGGCGGCUCUCUGGAACGCAACUGACGCUGAGACGCGAAAGCGUGGGGAGCAAACAGG